UACGGAGGGUGCAAGCGUUAUCCGGAUUCACUGGGUUUAAAGGGUGCGUAGGUGGGUAGGUAAGUCAGCGGUGAAAUCCCCGAGCUUAACUUGGGAACUGCCAUUGAUACUAUCUGUCUUGAAUACCUUGGAGGUGAGCGGAAUAUGUCAUGUAGCGGUGAAAUGCUUAGAUAUGACAUAGAACACCAAUUGCGAAGGCAGCUCACUACACGGUCAUUGACACUGAGGCACGAAAGCGUGGGGAUCAAACAGGA
rnacentral:rRNA from 1 species